UCGAGUCGGCGAUUAGUCUCC
rnacentral:siRNA from 1 species